GGAGCAGACCUGCGUACCUCACGCCCCAGCGGCGGCAGCAACCACUCCCUCGGCUCGGGGUACCAGACGGCACCCGUGUGUGUGUGUGCAUCCGCCCUCCUCCUUGCCUCCUCGCCAACCUACCUGCCUUGCCUGCUCUAGACUCACUCUCCCUCUGGACACCGUCGAGUCCUCAUCGGACGAUCGCCCCUUCAGUAGCACUACGCCUCCUCCUCUUAUUCCUCCUGACGCUCACGCUGAAGAAGCAGAAGUCAGGGCAUCACCACCACCAAUAGUAGCAGUAGCGUUUUCGGCCUAGACCCCUGAGGACGUAGACAAACUCGAAGAAUAGGCCUAAGGAGAAAGGCCAUUUUCUAAGGGCGCAGUCACCCUUUUAGUCUCAUUCCUUCAAAUAAGUAGAAUGCGGUCACUCGUUUGUGCUGCUGUGCUGCUGCUUGUGGCCUGCUGUUGGUCACCAGCUGCUGGGUGGGGAUACAUCUUCAACAGGUUCCGUCCUGAAGCCAACUUGAACUGGGGUUAUGGCAGCGCUGGUAACCAGCUACCAAUGUCAGAGAGGAUAGUCUCUCCCAGAGACCAGCUGAUGGAGGCUCUGCUUGGCGAGGAGAUUCUGGAGGAGCAGCUGUGCGAGGGGCGCCGUUGCACAGCCAACGAGGAGUGUUGCACCGGCCACGUCUGCGUCGAGUUUGACGGAACCUCCGGGACGUGCAUGCCAUCAUCCGCUCUGUCUGAAGGGGCGGACUGCCGAGGCGACUUCGAGUGCGGGGCUGGACUCAUCUGCGACCUGGGAUCCUGCGUCCGAGUCCAGGGCAAAAAACGCUACAACGAGGCCUGCAGCGUCAGCUCGGAAUGCGACAUCGGACGGGGCCUGUGUUGCCAGGUUGUACGACGUCACCGACAGAUACCUAAGACGCUGUGUGGCUAUUUCAAGGACCCCCUGAUCUGCAUCGGACACGUCGCCACCGACCAGGUAAAACCAGAGAAGAGGAAGCAGUAAAUUGUCAUCCUUCCCACAUGUACCCAGCCUACUGAAAGUUGGUGUGUUCUCGUCAGUCUGUGAGUUCAGCACGUGGUAGACCACACAAAAGGAGAGAAGAGACUGACAGGGAAGGUGCGAGCUUACGGGAACAUCUAAGAUUAAAAUCAUAUCUCUUCAAAAAUUAACCCCCCCCAAAAAAAAAAUUAAUAAACAUAUCAUCACAGACAGUGUUCAUCUGAAAUAAACUUAUUUUUAUUUCGUGAAAUAUGUUAAUACAAAAAUUGUUCUCCCGUACGUUCAUCGUCAGAGUUCAAAAGCAGCAUGAAAGCAAAAAUAAGAUUGUAAAAUGCACUGAAAGAAACCAAACAUAAAAUUGGGAGAUAAAAUGCUUUAAGAAAUGAAGUAACUGACAUAAACAUGACUGAAAUUGUCAUCUUUCCAAAAAUAUUAUUGCAUUGGAGGUUGUAAAAAAAAACAAGCAGGUAUAUACUUAUUAAACAUACACCAACACAUCAAAAUUCACAAUUUCUCAAUGUGACGAAGAAUUUACGAUUGCAUAGCUGUUCAUGCUGCCUUGAUUGAGCCCGCUUGUUUCAAAAUUGAAAAGAUGAAUUCCACAGGGAAAAAAAUAAAAGUGAGGGAGAAAAUCACUCUGAACUGAUGACAACCGUCAAUGUCCUAAAGAUGUCCUGAAUUGUCCUAAAACUUGGUCAUGAGAAAAUUGAAUGGACUUUUUAAGCCUCCUCUUUCUGACAUUUUUCAGAGUUGUGUAUCUAGUCAUUAGAUAGUUAAUAUCUUUUGAAUGUGAAGUUGUUAACAGACUCUCUCUCUCUCUCUCUCUCUCUCUCUCUCUCUCUCUCUCUCUCUCUCUCUCUCUCUCUCUCUCUCAUGACCAUGCGAGUAUGGCGCCUGUUUCUUAUUGCCAUACCUCUGAGAUUGAGAAAAUGUUACAGGGACAUUUUAAUUCCAGAUUCUCAUUCGAUUUAAAAAAAAAAAGACAAAAAUAUAAAUAAAUAAA